UACGUAGGGCGCAAGCGUUAUCCGGAAUUAUUGGGCGUAAAGAGCUCGUAGGCGGUUUGUCGCGUCUGCCGUGAAAGUCCGCGGCUCAACCGUGUGGUCUGCAGUCGAUACGGGCAGGCUAGAGUUCGGUAGGGGAGACUGGAAUUCCCGGUGUAGUGGUGAAAUGCGUAGAUAUCGGGAGGAACACCAGUGGCGAAGGCGACUUCUUGGCCUGUUCUUGACGCUGAGGCGGCGAAAGCUGGGGGGAGCAAACGGGG
rnacentral:rRNA from 1 species